rnacentral:tRNA from 2 species
GCGGGAGUGGCGGAACUGGCAGACGCACUAGACUUAGGAUCUAGCGCCGUGAGGCGUGCAGGUUCGAUUCCUGUCUCCCGCACCA